UAUUGCACAAUGGGGGAAACCCUGAUGCAGCGACGCCGCGUGAGUGAAGAAGUAUUUCGGUAUGUAAAGCCCUAUCAGCAGGGAAGAUAAUGACGGUACCUGACUAAGAAGCCCCGGCUAACUACGUGCCAGCAGCCGCGGUAAUACGUAGGGGGCAAGCGUUAUCCGGAUUUACUGGGUGUAAAGGGAGCGUAGGUGGCAGGGCAAGUCAGAUGUGAAACCCCGGGGCUCAACCCCGGGAGUGCAUUUGAAACUGUCCAGCUGGAGUGCAGGAGAGGUAAGCGGAAUUCCUAGUGUAGCGGUGAAAUGCGUAGAUAUUACGAGGAACACCAGUGGCGAAGGCGGCCUGCUGGGCUUUUACUGACGCUGAGGCUCGAAAGCGUGGGUAGCAAACAGG
rnacentral:rRNA from 1 species